rfam:Oryza sativa (indica cultivar-group) chromosome 2, whole genome shotgun sequence.
AAUAAGUGCAGCAAUGAGUUUUCGCGUCUAAUUUUGAUCGUCCGUCUUAUUUGAAAUUUUUUUAUAAUUAGUAUUUUUGUUGUUAUAAGAUGAUAAAACAUGAAUAGUACUUUACUCGUGACUUAUGUUUUUAAUUCUUUUUAAAAAAAAUUCAAAUAAGACGAACAGUUAAAAUUGAGCGCGGAAAACCAUGGCUGCACUUAUU